rnacentral:lncRNA from 1 species
UCCCCGUGGUUUAUUCGAAGCAUACUUGGGUUCAGUCAUCUUUUGAAAAGGGUUAAGGUUCAACAAAGUCAGUUACGCAGACUUCACAAUAUGGCAAAGCACAUACCUGAUCAGUUUGUAAAUCGAAAAAGCCUUAGGGUGAAAAAUCCAACUCAAUCAACUGCCGCAGCAAAAGUUGAUAAAGGCGUUGAAAGACUCAUGUUUACACGAUUCUCAAAGGAAAACGGAUCAAAUGAUGGUGGCAAUUUCUUUGUUUUUUUUUCUCUUUUGCAGAAAAAUUGCAUACACAGAUGAAAGUAAGGACACCUCGCACUGGAAUAGGUGUCGAAAAGAGUCCUCCGGUGAACAAAGGUAGAUUGAAAAUGUCGCAAGCAAAUUU